rnacentral:tRNA from 2 species
GGGCCGUUAGCUCAAUCCGGCAGAGCAACUGACUCUUAAUCAGGAGGUUGAAGGUUCGAUUCCUUCACGGCCCA